GUGUGUUUCACUAAGUUGGGUUGACUAGUUCCCAGAAGAGUUCUGUACAUGUUGCACGUUCAGUAAAUGAGCAAUUCAGUUACUGCUCGACUGAGAAGCCUCCGCCAAAUUAUUACAAUAUUCUCCACUGACUGAAGUUCGCCUUUGGCAACGCAGUGGCAAGCACACAUUUGCAGCAGCUGUGCAUGUGCAUACAACUGCAUGCAGCAGAUUAGAUGAUCAGAAUUCUUGAACCUUACACACAGGCAAGUCCCCUAAAAAGUCAAAACCAUAAUACUUUCACUGGUAUCAUACUGACAAAUGGCAUAGGUUGGAGGAAAAUCUGGAAAUGGUUGGCAGUGAAAGAGUUAAAAUGUAAUGCACUAUUGCAACCAACCACUGAAAGAGUAAAAAUACACAAACAGUAUGAUGAACCAUUCAAAUCACAUAAUACAGUAGCACUACUGCUAAUGUGUUAACGGUAGGUAUAACUACUACCGCAAUUUUAAAAAAUACAGUAAGUAAAUGUAAAUAACCUUAAUAUACCCAUAAUGCAAAGCAAAUUACAGUAAUUAACUGUAGAAAUGUUUUCAGGUAAGUUACUGGGCAUUUUGUGGUAUUUUACUGUGAAAAAUACAGCAAAGGUUAACAGUGUUGUAUCAGCGAUCAAUUUAGUGGAACAAUUUAUUAUAUACAUUGACUAUAAAGGAUCUAAAGUGAUUUGAUUUGUUACUAGCUUGCAGUGAUAGGUGGAUAGUAGUGAUUAUAUUCAUAAAAAUGGUAUUCAAUAGGACUAGAGUGUAAAUGGUACACAGCAAUGGACCUAAAUUGUGAGUUAACAGCACUCUGGAAUUUGCUUUCGCCUUCUUGUCAGGACUGUUGUUUGCUGCCCAAACACAAGAAGGACCCUUAUGUGCUUUCGGGUAUUUUUGGCAUUUGGUUGCUAAGUCUGCUUUAGAGCUUUUACUGACUUCAGGCUUUGUUCUGCACUCUGGGAAACUUGCAGCAGCUGUGUUGGGAAUUGAGCACAGGUUCAGUUUACAUCCACAGAUCCACUAACAUGAAUAGAAAACAGUAAAGUAGCACAGGCAUUUCAAAACAAGGCUUCAGAUUUGUGUGUAUGUGUGUGUGUCUAAUGUAAUAGUAGCUUUUGUAGUUUUACUUUGACUUCUAUAGAAAUCAUUUCUGAGGAAUGUAUAACAUGAAUAUGCAUCUUUUAAACUGCAAUAAAACUGAUGCUGAAUAUUUACAUGUUAAAUUUUCUAUGGUUUUUUUUUGCAUGUAUUUUUUUUACCUGCUGCUGAGUUGCAUGUCACCGAGCAGUUGAUGAUUUAUGUGUGUUAUCCCAAGAGGGAGGAGCAUCUUCAGAUUCUGUAAAC
ensembl:lncRNA